GUUACCCCCGUGCGAUCCUCCCUGAAACCACAAAAGGUUAAUAUGUUGGUUUUCCUAGCGCGAAACAAGGACAUGAUAACCCAGGUCUAAAUCACAUUCGUUAACGCUUAAGUAAUAUUUCGUUUAUUCUCUGUAUUUUCACUUAGGCCAACACUUUGUUUUCAUGUGAUACUUUAGAAUUCUUUCGUUUUUCAAAUUGGAAAAAGGAUUUUCUUAUUGCUUGUUUUCAUUUGAUACUUUAGAAUUUUUUUAUAUCUUUUGUUUUUUAAAUUGGAAAAGGCAUGUUCUUAUUGCGGUUUGGCAUUUAACAAUAAACAAAAAUGUUUUAAAACGUGUCUCUCUGUCAGUUAAAAAGCAACAAUAUAUGCUACAUAAUAACGCAACAAUAGAGCUUUGUAUGCAGUAAAAUCAGGAUAAAAAAGGUUUGUAAAAAAAAAAAAAAGCGCGGUAACACCGCGUAUCGCGCUAUUGAGCCACCCAUAAUAACCGCAAGGGAAAUUUCCUAACCGCGACAGCCCUAUGUGUAGUAUUGAUGCUGCCG